rnacentral:rRNA from 1 species
CUCCGGGGGUAGCGGUGAAAUGCUAUAAUCCCUGGGGGACCGCCAGUGGCGAAAGCGCUCGGCGGGGCCGAACCCGACGGUGAGGGACGAAGGCCAGGGGAGCGAACCGGAUUAGAUACCCGGGUAGUCCUGGCUGUAAAGUAUGUGGGCUAGGUGCUGGGCUCUCCUCGAGAGUGCUCGGUGCCGAAGGGAAGCCGUUAAGCCCACCGCCUGGGAAGUACGGCCGCAAGGUUGAAACUUAAAGAAAUUGGCGGGGGAGCACCACAAGGGGUGGAGCCUGCGGUUUAAUUGGAUUCAACGCCGGACAACUCACCGGGGGCGACGGCAGAUUGAAGGCCAAGUUGACGACUUUGCCGGACUCGCCGAGAGGUGGUGCAUGGCCGCCGUCAGCUCGUAUCGUGAGACGUCCUGUCAAGUCAGGUAACGAGCGAGACCUUCGCCUUUAGUUGCCAGCAGGUCCUUCGGGAUGCUGGGCACUCUAAAGGGACCGCUGUCGAUAAGGCAGAGGAAGGAGAGGGCGACGGUAGGUCCGUAUGCCCCGAAUCCCCCGGGCAACACGCGGGCUACAAUGCGCAGGACAGAGGGCUGCGACCCCGAAAGGGGGAGCCGAUCCCUAAACCUGCGCCUAGUUCGGAUCGAGGGCUGCAACUCGCCCUCGUGAAGCUGGAAUCCCUAGUAACCGUGUGUCAUUAUCGCGCGGUG